rnacentral:rRNA from 1 species
CCUACGGGUGACAGCAGUGAGGAAUAUUGGUCAAUGGGCGAGAGCCUGAACCAGCCAAGUCGCGUGAAGGACGACGGUCCUACGGGUUGUAAACUUCUUUUGUCAGGGAACAAAGGCGGGGACGAGUCCCCGGCCGAGGGUACCUGAAGAAAAAGCAUCGGCUAACUCCGUGCCAGCAGCCGCGGUAAUACGGAGGAUGCGAGCGUUAUCCGGAUUUAUUGGGUUUAAAGGGUGCGCAGGCGGUCUGUUAAGUCAGCGGUAAAAGCCCGGGGCUCAACCCCGGCGCGCCGUUGAAACUGGCAGUCUCGAGUUGGAGAGAGGUAUGCGGAAUGCGCGGUGUAGCGGUGAAAUGCAUAGAUAUCGCGCAGAACUCCGAUUGCGAAGGCAGCAUGCCGGCUCCGCACUGACGCUGAGGCACGAAAGCGUGGGUAUCGAACAGGAUUAGAUACCCUUGUAGUC